UACGGAGGGUGCAAGCAUUGAUCGGAAUUACUGGGCGUAAAGCGCACGUAGGCGGCUUCUUAAGUCAGGGGUGAAAUCCUGGAGCUCAACUCCAGAACUGCCUUUGAUACUGAGGAGCUUGAGUCCGGGAGAGGUGAGUGGAACUGCGAGUGUAGAGGUGAAAUUCGUAGAUAUUCGCAAGAACACCAGUGGCGAAGGCGGCUCACUGGCCCGGUACUGACGCUGAGGUGCGAAAGCGUGGGGAGCAAACAGG
rnacentral:rRNA from 1 species